rnacentral:rRNA from 1 species
GACAGAGGGUGCAAGCGUUGUUCGGAAUUACUGGGCGUAAAGGGCGCGUAGGCGGCCUGUUAAGUCGAACGUGAAAUCCCUGGGCUCAACCCAGGAACUGCGUCCGAUACUGGCAGGCUUGAAUUCGGGAGAGGGAUGCGGAAUUCCAGGUGUAGCGGUGAAAUGCGUAGAUAUCUGGAGGAACACCGGUGGCGAAGGCGGCAUCCUGGACCGAUAUUGACGCUGAGGCGCGAAAGCCAGGGGAGCAAACGGG